GACGAACGCUGGCGGCGCGCCUAACACAUGCAAGUCGAACGGAGCUGAGAGAAGCUUGCUUUUCUUAGCUUAGUGGCGAACGGGUGAGUAACGCGUGAGUAACCUGCCCUGGAGUGGGGGACAACAGUUGGAAACGACUGCUAAUACCGCAUAAGCCCACGAUCCGGCAUCGGAUUGAGGGAAAAGGAUUUAUUCGCUUCAGGAUGGACUCGCGUCCAAUUAGCUAGUUGGUGAGGUAACGGCCCACCAAGGCGACGAUUGGUAGCCGGACUGAGAGGUUGAACGGCCACAUUGGGACUGAGACACGGCCCAGACUCCUACGGGAGGCAGCAGGGGGGGAUAUUGCAAAAUGGGGGAAACCCUGAUGCAGCGACGCCGGGUGGAGGAAGAAGGUUUUCGGAUUGUAAACUCCUGUCGUUAGGGACGAUAAUGACGGUACCUAACAAGAAAGCACCGGCUAACUACGUG
rnacentral:rRNA from 1 species